UUUCUGUAGACACAGUACUUCCAACUCCUACUGCAAUGGGAAGAGAUGGCUCAGUGGGUAAGAGAGCUUGCCACCAAACCUGUCAACCUGAAGCCCCAUAACGGUGGAAGGAAAACCAUCCUCUGACCUCCACAGUGGCACUCUCCCCCACGCCCAUCACCAUCACCAUCUGACAGGCAAGCGCCUUCCUGUGUUGUGUCCCGGGAAAAGUGUCAUCUACUCAAUCAAUGCAAUGGAAGAAGGAAAUGGGCUCAGCUAAACAGAGACCACAGAAUACAAAACACUGGAACUCCAGGUGACAUGAUAAUAAUGCCCACUAAUGCCAUGAUCUCAACUGCAAAGCUCGAAGGAAUGACUUCAUCAAAUCAACCAAAAGCAAGUUAAGGGAAUAAAAAUGAGGAAAAGAAGAAGGAAGAAAUGAAGAAAGGGAAGGGAAAAAGGAAGGAAGAAAGGAAGGAAGGA